rnacentral:rRNA from 1 species
CGUAGGUGCAAGCGUUGUCCGGAAUUAUUGGGCGUAAAGAGCUCGUAGGCGGCUUGUCGCGUCUGCUGUGAAAUCCUGAGGCUCAACCUUGGGCGUGCAGUGGGUACGGGCAGGCUAGAGUGCGGUAGGGAGAUUGGAAUUCCUGGUGUAGCGGUGGAAUGCGCAGAUAUCAGGAGGAACACCGAUGGCGAAGGCAGAUCUCUGGGCCGUAACUGACGCUGAGGAGCGAAAGCAUGGGAGCGAACAGGAUU